rnacentral:rRNA from 1 species
AUUGAACGCUGGCGGCAGGCCUAACACAUGCAAGUCGAACGAGUGGCGGACGGGUGAGUAAUGCUUGGGAACCUGGCUUAUGGAGGGGGAUAACUACGGGAAACUGUAGCUAAUACCGCGUACCAUAGGAUGAGCCCACGUGGGAUUAGGUAGUUGGUGGGGUAAAGGCUCACCAAGGCGACGAGCCCUAGCUGGUCUGAGAGGAUGACCAGCCACACUGGGACUGAGACACGGCCCAGACUCCUACGGGAGGCAGCAGUGGGGAAUAUUGCACAAUGGGCGCAAGCCUGACGCAGCCAUGCCGCGUGAAUGAAGAAGGCCUUCGGGUUGUAAAGUUCUUUCGGUAGAGAGGCGUUAACUACAGAAGAAGCACCGGCUAACUCCGUGCCAGCAGCCGCGGUAAUUC